GCCGGGGAGACCAUGUUGGUGAUGGGCGGAGAGGCGGGGCCGACGGCCCGAGGCGGCCGGGCUGACAGGGCGCGUGCGCAAAGAGCUUCGGCGCAUUUACUCGCAGGGGAGCUGUAGCUUGAGGUCUACGUUUGCCUUUCGUGCAAACUCUUUCUCCCUGGUGAAAAAAAGAGUGUGCAGGAGGAGAAGGGAAGGGGGUGGGGGUCCCAUUUCCGGGAGAGAAGAUCGGAAAAAGGUCCACGGAAACUUAGCCGCUAACUCACUGCUGUGGGACAAGGGUCCCACUCUCUUUGGGCCUCGGUCUUCUCAUUGGUAAUAUGGGUAAUUUUGCACGAGCUUAGUGUAUCGAAAAUGGUCCUGUCGGAGUACUCAUAACUGCCAGAGUUUAUGCUACCUGGCGAAUCCUGGGAUCGGGAAAUCUCUUGUCUUGAGUUACAUGUUAAAGGUAACCCUUUCCUUCCCUUCUCCCAGUCCUGUGCUUAAGUAUCCAGUCUACAGCUCUGCCUUUUCAACAUUUUCACCAUUCACGCGUGAAGUUGAGGUGCUUACCCCUUGGGAAGAUGCACUACCUUUGUGUCCUGGACCUUCAGCCCCAGUUCUGGAAACAGCGAUCAGAUCACCACUGACCAAGACAGAGUUCCUUGCCCCAGCGUGUGAGGAGCCUGCCUUCUCCCCACUCCUCUGCGUGAGACCCAAGAGGAAGUUUUGAUUUCGCUCACAGCAUGUAUCUGACCAAAGAAUGUCUUGGAAGUUGCCCAACUCUAUGCCAGCACUUUUAAGUCUUUCCUUAGAACUGCCUGGGGAUGGCCCUCAGGGAUCCCAGGACCCCUGUCCAACUGUCCCACUGGCUGCAUCGACAAACCACUGUUUCUCCAGCUGAGGGGUUAUGAGAGGGCCUGGGAAGCGGUCCAAGGGUGUUCAGGCGACAGAGAAAGAAGGUGGGGCCGACGUCCAGGCCCUCAGCACCCAGAGCAUGGUCCCCACCUCCUGAGUCACUACUGACACUGCAGCAGGACUGAAGGUCAGAUUGGGCCCCGCCAGUCUUGAGUGCUGAUCAAGGAGGAGGUGAGGAAAUAGCAUCGUGGAGAGGUCACAUGACUUGCAGAAUGGAAGUGGCAGAACCUGAGCUCAGGACAUUACUCAAAAUGGGACUGUGGCACCAUGGCGUUUGUUUUUCCUAGGCUCUGGCAUUUCCUCAGUGUGAUAUUUCCUCCAGGGUGUGAUGCCUCCCCCAACCAAGAUGGCAGCCUCAUCUCCAUGGCAACCCCCAGAGACUUUGCCUUGGGGACCCAGUUGCAAAUUGCAAAGCCCCUUUCCUGAAGCCUGGACCAGCAAGGUCUCUGUUUGAAGAUGGGGUCUGCGGGCCCCAUGGCUGGAAACUCUCGGCUCACCCCACCUCUGUACACUCUAGCUGGCACUGCAGCUGGCCCUGAUCAGACUUGGUGAGAGGAGGUUUCCCCUGAGUCAACAAUCUCACUUCUCUGUUCUUCUCAUGCACCUUCCAGAAGGACCUCAAGCUCUCCAGGGGCAAGAUGGAACAGCUGGCCCUGACCCCCGCUGGAUCAGCCAGGCUCAUUUUUCUGGAUCUCCCAUCCCAAAGCUUGCUCUACCCAAGGACCGUUGCAGAAACAAACAGCUCUGUUCCGCCCAAAAGAUCCUUCAUAUGUUUACAGGUUUUAAAAGCAUAUCAUUUAUGGUAAAUUUUAAGGACAUAAAAAUUGUGGCGAUGUUGAUGAGAGGAUAUUUUGUUGCAGUGGCUGGAAAAUACACAAAACCAUAGCAAUUUCCCUGGAAGUUCAGACGGUAGAGAUUCUGUCUAGAGUGGCCACCAAGCAUGGUGUGCUGGGAUUAUCUCAUUUAAUUCUCCUGGCAACUCCUUGGCGAAGUUGCUCUUGCCGCCCAGGUUUACAGAGAAGGAAACUCUCCAGGAACAGGCAGCGGGCGAAAGGCAGAGAGAGGAUUUGGAGGCAGGACUCUGCUCCCAAAGUGUGUGCACCUUCACCCACACCUGCCUGCCUCUGAUUUUGCCAUUUGACCUACAUCAGGAAUAAGCCCCGAGGCAGAAAUUUCAGGUCAUCAAGAAAGUUAUGCCUUCCGUACAGAGCAGAAGCUGAUCCAUCAGAGUUACUCCGCUGCUCUUUUACUUUCCGUUCAAAAUAAAAUAUAACACAACACUCAGAUAUUAUCACUGUGCCUGAGUGGUUUUAGCCCUCUACCUGCAAGAUGACUCUGGGCAGAUCUAGAUCACUGCUUUUUUUUUUUUUUUUUUGAGAUU